rnacentral:lncRNA from 1 species
CACGGGGCCGGGAAUGCACGGUGGCACACAUGGGCGCCCUCUACCACCGCCUGCUGGCGAAACAUGGGUACUGCAGGCGGGGCGGCACUGCGCAUGCACCAUGGCGUCCCCGGGUACCCUCUGCCACCACCUGCCGGCGAAACGUACUGGGUGAUGACAUGCAUGAGCAUGCGUGUUCACGCAUUAUCAGGUAUCGGGUGACAACACACGUGUUCACUCGUCUUCAGGCAUGUGGUGACCAAAUGCAUUUCCACGGGUUUUCAGGCAUAGGAUGACAACACGUGUGUUCACGUGUGUUCACACGUGUUCGGGUCUAUGCUGACAAUGUGUGGGUUCACACCUGUUAGCCAUGUUGUGACAAAUCACAUUUUCAGGUAUAUGGUGACAACAUGUGUGUUCAUUUGUGUUCACGCCUGUUCAGGUAUGUUGUGAAAGAAUGCAUUGUAACUCAUUUUCAGGCAUCUGGUGGCUACAUACGUGUUCAGGCAUGCUGUGAUGAAAUGCAUUUUCACGUGUUUACGGUCAUAUGGUGACAACAGGCAUGUUCACACACAUUUAAGUGUUUAGUGAUGAAAUGCUUUUCCACACGUUUUUCAGGUAUUGGGUGAACACGUGUUCACACGUGCUCACUCGUGUGGUGACAAAACAUCUUCACGCCUGUUCAGACAUGUUGUGACCAAACGCAUUUUUACGUGUUUUCAGGCAUAGGAUGACAACACACGUGUUCAUGUGAAACCCUGACCCCCACCCCCAGACCCUCAAGCUCAGAGCCACUAAUCCAGACCUGACUCUGAGCCCCAAACCCGGGCCCGACCGCAAGCCCCAACCCCAAGCCCCAGCCCCUCAAGACCAGACUCUUGACCCUGAGCCCUGGACCCAAGCCCCCGAACCCGAGCACCUGACCCCCAGCCCCCGACCCCGGAGCCUGCACCCUGGAUCUAACUGUGAGCCCCAGACCCGAGCCCCGAUCUGACCUCAAGCCCUGACCCCAAGCCCCUGACCCCAGAGAUGACCCCGACCCUGGAGUUGACCCUGACUCUAAGCCCCAAACCCAAGCCCCUGCCCGAAGCCCAAACACGGAGACCCAUCCCUGGAUCCUUGACCCUGGAGCCCCCACCCUGGAGCUGACCCCGAGCCCCCAACCCCCAGAUUCCAGACACAGCGCUAACCCCGAGCCCCAACCCCAGACCUUCAACCCCGAGCCCCAGCCAAGAACCCUCGACCACCGACCCUCAACCCCGAACCCGGCGUUGACCCAGAGCCCCAGACCUGAGCUCCGGACCCUGGAUCUGACUCCAAGCCCUGACCCCG